rnacentral:misc_RNA from 1 species
AAGUCGUAACAAGGUUUUUUUAGGUGAACCUGCGGAAGGAUCAUGUGUCAUUGAUUGUGCAAGGAUGGCGGUUCUACGAUUCCUGUAGACCGUACACUCGGGCAGGAGCUUUGCCAAAGGGUCCCCAUGCCCCCUAAUAACCCACAGUUUAAUGUGAAGCUCAAUGUAAUACAUUGGGUAAAAAAACCGAACAACUGUUAACAAUGGAUAUCUUGGUUCUC